rnacentral:rRNA from 1 species
CAGUCGCCGCGGUAAUACGAAGGGGGCUAGCGUUGCUCGGAAUCACUGGGCGUAAAGGGUGCGUAGGCGGGUUUUUAAGUCAGAGGUGAAAUCUUAGAGCUCAACUCCAGAACUGCCUUUGAUACUGAAAGUCUUGAGUAUGGGAGAGGUGAGUGGAACUGCGAGUGUAGAGGUGAAAUUCGUAGAUAUUCGCAAGAACACCAGUGGCGAAGGCGGCUCACUGGCCCAUAACUGACGCUGAGGCACGAAAGCGUGGGGAGCAAACAGGAUUAGAUACCCGGGUAGUCCCUGUCUCUUAUAC